rnacentral:rRNA from 1 species
CCUACGGGAGGCACCAGUGGGGAAUAUUGCACAAUGGGCGCAAGCCUGAUGCAGCGACGCCGCGUGGGGGAUGAAGGCCUUCGGGUUGUAAACUCCUUUCGCUAGGGACGAAGCUUUUUUGUGACGGUACCUAGAUAAGAAGCACCGGCUAACUACGUGCCAGCAGCCGCGGUAAUACGUAGGGUGCGAGCGUUGUCCGGAAUUACUGGGCGUAAAGGGCUCGUAGGUGGUUUGUCGCGUCGUCUGUGAAAUUCUGGGGCUUAACUCCGGGCGUGCAGGCGAUACGGGCAUAACUUGAGUGCUGUAGGGGUAACUGGAAUUCCUGGUGUAGCGGUGAAAUGCGCAGAUAUCAGGAGGAACACCGAUGGCGAAGGCAGGUUACUGGGCAGUUACUGACGCUGAGGAGCGAAAGCAUGGGUAGCGAACAGGAUUAGAUACCCGCGUAGUC